rnacentral:rRNA from 1 species
GAUGAACGCUGGCGGCGUGCCUAAUACAUGCAAGUCGAGCGAACAGACGAGGAGCUUGCUCCUCUGACGUUAGCGGCGGACGGGUGAGUAACACGUGGAUAACCUACCUAUAAGACUGGGAUAACUUCGGGAAACCGGAGCUAAUACCGGAUAAUAUAUUGAACCGCAUGGUUCAAUAGUGAAAGACGGUUUUGCUGUCACUUAUAGAUGGAUCCGCGCCGCAUUAGCUAGUUGGUAAGGUAACGGCUUACCAAGGCAACGAUGCGUAGCCGACCUGAGAGGGUGAUCGGCCGCACUGGAACUGAGACACGGUCCAGACUCCUACGGGAGGCAGCAGUAGGGAAUCUUCCGCAAUGGGCGAAAGCCUGACGGAGCAACGCCGCGUGAGUGAUGAAGGUCUUCGGAUCGUAAAACUCUGAUAUUAGGGAAGAACAAAUGUGUAAGUAACUAUGCACGUCUUGACGGUACCUAAUCAGAAAGCCACGGCUAACUACGUG